rnacentral:rRNA from 1 species
GUCGUCAGCUCGNGUCNUGAGAUGUUGGGUUAANUNNCGCAACGAGCGCAACCCCUAUCCUUAUUUGCCAGCACGUAAUGGUGGGAACUCUAGGGAGACUGCCGGUGAUAAACCGGAGGAAGGUGGGGACGACGUCAAGUCAUCAUGGCCCUUACGGGCAGGGCUACACACGUGCUACAAUGGCAUGUACAGAGGGAUGCGAACUCGCGAGAGCAAGCGGACCCCAAAAAGCAUGUCGUAGUCCGGAUCGGAGUCUGCAACUCGACUCCGUGAAGUCGGAAUCGCUAGUAAUCGUAGAUCAGAAUGCUACGGUGAAUACGUUCCCGGGCCUUGUACACACCGCCCGUCACACCAUGGGAGUGGGCUGCAAAAGAAGUGGGUANNNANCCUCGG